AUUGAACGCUGGCGGCAGGCUUAACACAUGCAAGUCGAGCGGGGUGAUGGUGCUUGCACUAUCACUUAGCGGCGGACGGGUGAGUAAUGCUUAGGAAUCUGCCUAUUAGUGGGGGACAACAUCUCGAAAGGGAUGCUAAUACCGCAUACGUCCUACGGGAGAAAGCAGGGGAUCACUUGUGACCUUGCGCUAAUAGAUGAGCCUAAGUCGGAUUAGCUAGUUGGUGGGGUAAAGGCCUACCAAGGCGACGAUCGGUAGCGGGUCUGAGAGGAUUAUCGGCCACACUGGGACUGAGAAACGGCCCAGAAUCCUACGGGAGGCAGCAGUGGGGAAUAUUGGACAAUGGGGGGGAACCCUGAUCCAGCCAUGCCGCGUGUGUGAAGAAGGCCUUAUGGUUGUAAAGCACUUUAAGCGAGGAGGAGGCUCUUUUGGUGAAUACCCAAGAUGAGUGGACGUUACUCGCAGAAUAAGCACCGGCUAACUCUGUGCCAGCCGCCGCAGUAA
rnacentral:rRNA from 1 species